CUCAAUCGUUCAUUCCAUUCCUAAUUGAUUUGAUUUAUUUCAUUCAUUAAUCAUUACUUGGUCAGAGUCAAUUCAAAAUUCACAGUAAAGUAAAGGCGACUAGAUGUAUUACAGUAAUAAAAAACAAAAAAAAUCUUAGUUAAUUUGGUUUUUGUGACAGCAGAAAACUUUUUGCACCAUUGUUUUCAGGUCUCAAGUUGCAUUAUCUGUUGAGGAAGAGUUCUCAGUGUUGCAUCCUAUGUUGAUCGGGCCUACAUAGCCUAAAACAGGUCGAGACAAAAAAGAAUUAAAACAACAGAUUAAAUUGAUUUAAGAAGUAAUAUAAUGCAAAAGAAGAAUAAAGAAGACACGAGAAAAAGGAAAAUCCCUCAAGUGUAUUGUAAAAAUAUCUAAUAUGCAUUGCAAGAUUUGACUAUGAGGUGAUUCAAUGUUGAGUGAAAGAGGUAGCCUAUCAUGUAACUACUAGCCACUUAACAAGGCCUACAAACAAGUUUUAGUUACAUACGAAUUUAUGACUUUUCUAAUUAGUUACUAGCUUGUGUGAUAAGAUUUAUAGAUAUAAAAAUUGCAAGAGUAGAAAUGUUAACUUGCUUCAAAAAAUAUCCUCUUAAGUGUCCAAUAUGUGUGCAAAGUUGUUCAACUCCAUCCGCAAUGAAGGCUCAUAUAUUGUAUCACACGGGAGAGCGUCCCUUUAAAUGUUUGGCAUGUGGGAAAACUUUUUUCCAAAAACACCAUGUAAAAAGACAUUUGUUGAUCCAUUUUGCGAUAUAUCAUUAUAAGUGCCCAACAUGCGAAAAAUCCUUUGCAUCAAAAUACUAUAUGAAGAGACACACACUAGUUCAUACAGGAAUGAGACCUUACAAGUGCUGUACAUGUGGAAAAUCCUUUAAAACCAAAGGCAAUAUGAAGAUACAUUCAUUGUUUCAUACAGAUAAGAGACCUUUUAAGUGCUCUACGUGUGGAAAAUCCUUUACAUACAAAGGCGAUAUAAGGACACAUUCAUUGGUUCAUAGAGAAGAGAGACCUUACAAGCGCUCUACAUGUGAAAAAUACUUUAAAUCCAAAGGCGAUAUGGUGAGACAUUCAUUAGCUCAUAUAGGAGAGAGACCUUACAAUUGCUCUACAUGUGGAAAAUCUUUUACAUCCAAAAGCGAUAUAAAGAGACAUUCAUUGAUUCAUACAGGAGAGGGACCUUACAAUUGCUCUACAUGUGGAAAAUCUUUUACAUUCAAAGGCGAUAUGAAGAGACAUUCAUUGGUUCAUACAGAAGAGAGACCUUACAAGUGCUCUACAUGUGGAAAAUCUUUUACAUCCAAAGGCGAUAUGAAGAGACAUUCAUUGGUUCAUACAGGAGAGAGACCUUACAAUUGCUCUACAUGUGGAAAAUCUUUUACAUCCAAAGGCGAUACGAAGAGACAUUCAUUGGUUCAUACAGGAGAGAGACCUUACAAUUGCUCUACAUGUGGAAAAUCUUUUACAUCCAAAGGCGAUAUGAAGAGACAUUCAUUGGUUCAUACAGGAGAGAGACCUUACAAUUGCUCUACAUGUGGAAAAUCUUUUACAUCCAAAGGCGAUAUGAAGAGACAUUCAUUGGUUCAUUCAAAAGAGAGACCUUACAAGUGCUCUACAUGUGAAAAAUGCUUUAAAUCCAAAAGGGAUAUGGAAAGACAUUCAUUUGUUCAUACAGGAGAGAGACCAUACAAGUGUUCUACAUGUGGAAAAUCCUUUAAAUCCAAAGGUCAUAUGAAGAGACAUUUAUUAGUUCAUACAGGGGAGAGAUCUUACUAGUGCUCUACAUGUGGAAAAUCCUAUAAAACUAGAACUCAUAUGCUGAAACAUUCAUUGUUUUAUACAGGAGAGAGACAUUACAAGUGCUCUACAUGUGGAAAAUCCUAUAAAGCCAAAACUCAUAUAAUAAAACAUUCAUUGGUUCAUACAGGAGAUAGACCUUACAAGUGCUCUGUAUGUCAAAAAAUAUUUACAUCGAAAGGCGAUAUGAAGAGACAUUCAUUGGUUCAUACAGGAGAGAGCCUUUAUAAGUGCUCUACAUGUGAAAAAUCCUUUACAUCCAAAGGCGAUAUGGAGAGACAUUCAUUGGUUCAUACAGGAGAGAGCCUUUAUAAGUGCUCUACAUGUGAAAAAUCCUUUACAUCCAAAGGCGAUGUGGAGAGACAUUCAUUUGUUCAUACAGGAGAGGGACCUUACAAGGCUCCACAUGUGAAAAAUCCUUUACAACCAAAGUCAAGACAAAAAAGAAUUAAAGCAACAGAUUAAAUUGAUUUAAGAAGUAAUAUAAUGCAAAAGAAGAAUAAAAAAGACAAGAGAAAAAGUAAAAGUGUAUUGUAAAAAUAUCUAAUACGCAUUGCAAGAUUUGACUAUGAGGUGAUUCAAUGUUGAGUGAAAGAGAUAGCCUAUCAUGUAACUACUAGCCACUUAACAAGGCCUACAAACAAGUUUUAGUUACAUACGAAUUAAUGACUUCCCUAAUUAAUUAGUUACUACCUAAUGUGAUAAGAUUAAUAGAAAUAAAAGGGCCAAGAGUAGAAAUGCUACCUUGCAUAAACAAAUUUUCUCUUGAAUGUCCAAUAUGUAGGCAAAGUUGUUCAACUCAAUCCACAAUGAAGGCUCAUAUAUUGUAUCACACGGGAGAGCAUCCCUUUAAAUGUUUAUCAUGUGGGAAAACCUUUUUCCAAAAAUACCAUGUAAAAAGACAUUUGUUGGUACAUCAUAAGUGCCCAGCAUCUGAAAAAUCCUUUGGAUCAAAAGACUAUAUGAAGAGACACACACUAGUUCAUACAGGACAGGGACCUUACAAGUGCUCUAUAUGUGGAAAAUCAUUUAAAUUAAAAAGCGUCAUGAAGAAACAUUCAUUGAUUCAUACAGGAGAGAGACCUUACAAGUGCUCUACAUGUGGGAAAACCUUUAUAUCUAAAUACAAUAUAAAGCUACAUUCAUUGGUUCAUACGGGAGAGAGACCUUACAAGUGCUCUACAUGUGGAACAUCCUUUACAACCAAAAGCAGUAUGAACAAACAUUCAUUGGUUCAUACGGGAGAGAGACCUUAUAAAUGUUCUACAUGUGGAAAAUCCUUUACAUCCAAAGGCGAUAUGAAGACACAUUCAUUGGUUCAUACAGGAGAGAGACCUUAUAAGUGCUCUACAUGUGGAAAAUCCUUUACAUCCAAAGGCAGUAUAAACAAACAUUCAUUAGUUCAUACAGGAGAUAGACCUUACAAGUGCUCUACAUGUGGAAAAUCCUAUAAAACAAAAGCCCACAUGAUGACACAUUCAUUGGUUCAUACAGGAGAGAGACCUUACAAUUGCUCUACAUGUGGAAAAUCAUAUAAAACCAAAUCUCAUAUGAAGAUACAUUCAUUGGUUCAUACUGAAGAAAGACCUUACAAGUGCUCUACAUGUGAAAAGUCCUUUAAAUCCAAAGGCGAUAUGAAGAGACAUUCUUUG